rnacentral:tRNA from 1 species
GCAGGUAUAGCUCAGUGGUGGAGUACAUGCUUAGCACGCAUCAGGUCCUGGGUUCAAUCCUCAGUACCUCCG